rnacentral:lncRNA from 1 species
GCGCGAAAGAAUAAUCUCCCGUCUCGUCGUCUACUCCGCUCCUUGCGCCAUCUCGCGGCGGAACAGGGGAGGGGAGGGGCGGCGAUCUCCAUCCGGCGAGCGGCGAGCAGCGAGCAGAGCAGAGCAGGGGAGGAGAUCCUGCGUCGUCUCCGUCUCCGUCUUGUCCACAGCUCCAGGCUCCACUCCUUGUGCUGCCACCCUCCCCUUUGCUUUGGACGUCGCCUCCUCAUCAAUGCACGCCGAGCGUCGCGUCUUCCUCCAGCUCAUCUCAACGCCGGCGGCCGGUUCCACGCGGUGGCCGCGGCGGCCUCUGCCCCUCCGCUCGUUCCUCUCCUUGGGUGGGGGUCUUUAGAGCGCAGGGAGCCGCUCCGCCAGCCACAGCCCACAGCUCCUGAUCGUUUGCUUGUUUAUAUAUCAGAUUCAUGUUCUUCAUUUCUGUGCUGGUUAGUAUUUCCAAUCACCAACGCUUUCUUCAAGAAUGGAGGUGCACUACUAUACAUGAGCCUAGGACCACUGCUCUUCGGCUUGUGGGUUAGUUUACAUGAUUUACAUACAUAUCUCUUUGGAACCCUAUCAAAAUCACUGAUUCCAGCACACCUAGUGUGCAUCCACAUAUGGCAAGUGUCACAGGAUAGCAUUCUCUCACCGUCAUCGUCCGUUGCUCCACAGGAGCAUUUAACUGUCCAUUUGUCCACACCCCUCUCCAUCCGUUGCACAAUCAAGAAGCUGUUGGGAUCCUGUCAUGACGCUGGAGCCUCCCUCACGGCCAUUAAUCCGAACAAGGUGGCCAAACCCGUUUUCAUGGACUAUGCCAUGCAGCAGAUGCCGUGGACUCUCCAGCUGCACAUAGUCCCAAUCUUCCGGAUCAUCCCGUGA